AAUGGGAAUUUGGUUGUAGCUUGGCUCAUAUUAUCUGGGCAUGUGCACACCUUUCUCUUUCAUCCACACACACCUGUGCACCUGUGAGGCAGAUGGGGGAGGAAAUUACUGAUUGUUCUUGAAGAAUAAUGGGUGUUGGGAAAACCCCCCUCUGUCUACUCAAUCUAUAUAAACCCAAUAUUUUUAAAAAUGAAUGUAAUGGAUGUAACACAUCUAAUACUAAGUUUCAACAACGGAUCUCUUGGCUCUCGCAUCGAUGAAGAACGCAGCGAAAUGCGAUAAGUAAUGUGAAUUGCAGAAUUCAGUGAAUCAUCGAAUCUUUGAACGCACCUUGCGCUCCUUGGUAUUCCUUGGAGCAUGCCUGUUUGAGUAUCAUGAAAUCUUCAAAGUAAAUCUUUUGUUAACUCAAUUGGUUCUGCUUUGGUAUUGGAGGUUAUUGCAGCUUCACACCUGCUCCUCUUUGUACAUUAGCUGGAUCUCAGUGUUAUGCUUGGUUCCACUCGGCGUGAUAAAGUUAUACUAUCGCCUGAGA
rnacentral:rRNA from 1 species